GAUGAACGCUGGCGGCGUGCCUAAUACAUGCAAGUCGAGCGAACAGAUGAGGAGCUUGCUCCUCUGACGUUAGCGGCGGACGGGUGAGUAACACGUGGAUACCCUACUUAUAAGACUGGGAUAACUUCGGGAAACCGGAGCUAAUACCGGAUAAUAUAUUGAACCGCAUGGUUCAAUAGUGAAAGACGGUUUUGCUGUCACUUAUAGAUGGAUCCGCGCCGCAUUAGCUAGUUGGUAAGGUAACGGCUUACCAAGGCGACGAUGCGUAGCCGACCUGAGAGGGUGAUCGGCCACACUGGAACUGAGACACGGUCCAGACUCCUACGGGAGGCAGCAGUAGGGAAUCUUCCGCAAUGGGCGAAAGCCUGACGGAGCAACGCCGCGUGAGUGAUGAAGGUCUUCGGAUCGUAAAACUCUGUUAUUAGGGAAGAACAAAUGUGUAAGUAACUAUGCACGUCUUGACGGUACCUAAUCAGAAAGCCACGGCUAACUACGUG
rnacentral:rRNA from 1 species